GAUGAAGAACGUAGCGAAAUGCGAUACGUAAUGUGAAUUGCAGAAUUCAGUGAAUCAUCGAAUCUUUGAACGCAUAUUGCGCUCUUUGGUAUUCCGAAGAGCAUGCUUGUUUGAGUAUCAGUAAACACCUCAACCUCUUCUUGAUUUUUCAAAAGGAGGGUGGACCUGAGCUAUCCCAACAACCUUUACCGGUCGGCGGGCGGCUUGAAAUGCAGGUGCAGCUGGACUUUUAUCUGAGCUAAAAGCAUAUCUAUUUAGUCCUCGUCAAACAGGAUUAUUACUUUUGCUGCAGCUAACAUAAAGGAUAAUUGUCCUCUUUGCUGACUGAUGCAGGAUUUUACGACACUUUAUGUGUUGUUCAACUCGAUCUCAAAUCAAGUAAGACUACCCGCUGAACUUAAGCAUAUCAAUAAGCGGAGGA
rnacentral:misc_RNA from 1 species